rnacentral:rRNA from 1 species
UGGGGAAUUUUUCGCAAUGGGGGAAACCCUGACGAAGCAACGCCGCGUGGAGGAUGAAGGCCUUCGGGUCGUAAACUCCUGUCGACCGGGACGAACGCUAUUGGGCCCAAUACGCCCGAUAGUCGACUGUACCAGUGGAGGAAGCCACGGCUAACUCUGUGCCAGCAGCCGCGGUAAUACAGAGGUGGCAAGCGUUGUUCGGAAUUACUGGGCGUAAAGGGCGCGUAGGCGGUCCUGUCAGUCCCUUGUGAAAUCCCCCGGCUCAACUGGGGAACUGCAAGGGAUACAGCAGGGCUUGAGUUCGGGAGAGGGAAGCGGAAUUCCGGGUGUAGCGAUGAAAUGCGUAGAUAUCAGGAGGAACACCCGUGGCGAAGGCGGAUCUCUGGACCGGUUCUGACGCUGAGGAGCGAAAGCUAGGGGAGCAAACAGGAUUAGAUACCCCCGUAGUCCCUGAGCGGGCUGGCAAGGCGCAU